CAGCAGCCGCGGGAAUACGAGGGGGGCAAGCGUUGUUCGGAAUUAUUGGGCGUAAAGGGCGCGUAGGCGGUUUGACAAGUCUUAUGUGAAAUCUAUGGGCUCAACCCAUAGUCUGCACGGGAAACUGUCGGGCUUGAGAAUGGGAGAGGUGAGUGGAAUUUCCGGUGUAGCGGUGAAAUGCGUAGAUAUCGGAAAGAACACCUGUGGCGAAAGCGGCUCACUGGACCAUUUCUGACGCUGAUGCACGAAAGCUAGGGGAGCAAACAGGAUUCGAUACCCCAGUAGUCCCUGUCUCUUAUAC
rnacentral:rRNA from 1 species